UGUUCGCUCGCUACGAUCUAUAUCUUUACAUUUAAUGAACUUUCAAUUUCAGAUAUAUACGUUUAACUUGUACCGAUAGAAAUAAAUUUCUGUUUGCAGCUUUAAAAACAGAAUGAAGAAUUACUUGAAUCAAUGUAUAAUAUUAUUAAUUUCAAAUUUAAAAAAAAAGGGAGUAAUGGCUCUCUAGCGAUCCGCUCACUGUUUAAAAGAACGUGUGCAACUUUGUCUAUUUAAAAUAAAAAUUAUCCUAGGUAGAACAAAUCUGUAAAACGCUCGAUGAAGGUUGAAAUAAUAGCGAGGUUGUCUAAAGUGAUUUUCACAGUUUGGCUAGAGUCGCCAAGCCGGACUUUUCGAGGAUGGGCAAAUUUUCCACACCCACCAGGGGAGUAAUUCACUCAUAGUCAUCAGGUAGAAAAUUUACGAACAGCGACAAGAGUCGAACGGUUACGGGGUUGCGGCCAAAACUUCAUUUCUGCGGUUUUUGCACUGUGACGCACCGUGCAACAUAAAUUUCGAGACUAACGGUGGUCACGUUACGCACCUGUAAAUCACCCGAAAGAUUUUCGUCGCUCCACACCGGAACAGAUUCGAUCUCCGCUGAGAAAACGGACAUAUAUUCUUCUCCACGGCUUAAACGGAGAAUUUUCAAGGAUUCUCGCCAUUUUUUGUGCUCGUUUCUUUUAGGGUCACAGGCUGUGACGUUUCUUUUUAUUGUCAGCUUUAGUAUUGGCCAUGAUGACAUAAUUACAAUAUGUUAGUACUUUCUACGUGCGAUUAGAAGGGAAAAUUUUAUUGAAAUAAAGACCAAUACAGUUUAACCAAGAAUAUACAAAGUUUUUAGAAUUCUCGUUAUAAAUUUUGAACGACCACAUUCGGCCUUUGAAAAUUUGAUAAAUUAACAAGAAAAGAGGAAAAAAUAUAUCCAUCAAUACAUUGUCGACUCUCCUUCAGCCAUCAAUUACCUUACUUAGAAGAAUCUGUAGUUUUGAAAGUAAAAAGAUCCAAUUGCCCACGGAAGCUAUGUAAGCGCACGUGUACACGCACACGAGUUGCCCACGUAUCUAUCGUUGCGGUGAGGAGAGGGAGGGACAAUUUUAUUGCAUUCUGAUGCAGGCCUACUUGCACCGAGACAAUAGUCCCAGGCAGAUAUGCAACCGGCCACGACAGAUAUGUCGGUGCAACAUACUCGUAAACUCGCGUGGGACUUCGUCUUCUCCUCGGUUGCGACAGCUACCUACCGGUCGAGGGAAUUUUUGACGAGCAGGUUGCUUGCGCUUUCGAUUCCCGCCGGUUCCGCUGUAUGGGAAUACAAAAAAAAAAAAAAAAGAAAAAGAAGAAGAAGAAGAAGAAGAAGAAGAAGAAAUAGAGUUGCAACUGCGUUCGUGUCGAAACCUGAACGUCUUCAAAUCCCAUGCCAGCCGGUAUAAAGAUGGCAAAGGAGAAAAGGUAUUAUUAACACUAGAAUUAUCGACGACUAACGCAUAAAAUUUCCAUCAGUAAAAGAAACAGAAAAUCUUUAUAAUACAAUAAGGUACACAAACUUUUAUUCAUAUACUUUACGAAUCUCCAAAGAUACAUCAUUUUAUAUCUAUAAAAUAUUCAAACGGUCAUUUUGACCAUUUUCGUGGUUCUAGUGUUAACAAGUACGAUGAUUGGUAGGAUUAAAUAUCGUAAAAUGAAAUGGUUCGUGAUCCAUGAAAAUUUGA